rfam:Puccinia graminis f. sp. tritici CRL 75-36-700-3 supercont2.15 genomic scaffold, whole genome shotgun sequence.
GGACGCAUGGCCCAGUGGUAAGGCGCUCGCCUUCGACAUAGGUGGAGUUCUCCCUCGUGGGAGCGAGAGAUCGUCGGUUCGACCCCGGCUGCGUUCA